AAGUCGUAACAAGGUUUCCGUAGGAACAAGUUCUUGAUUCUUUCAAUGCACUUGCCGAAGCCUUCACGGGUCUUUCCAAAGAUCGAUCAACCGCGACUCUAAAGAAAAGGUGGUCUCUAGCUUACCCGGCCCUGCCUAUGGUUGCUAGACGUUAGUUAGCUACGGCUAGCGACACCGUUGGACUGUGGCGAUUCUCCUGCUGGAGCAAUCCGUAGCUCGCAUUAAAUGAUGCGAGUUCACAGACUAAGUAACGGUGGAUAUGAGGGUUUACCUC
rnacentral:misc_RNA from 1 species